AGUGAACGCUGGCGGUAGGCCUAACACAUGCAAGUCGAACGGCAGCACAGUAAGAGCUUGCUCUUACGGGUGGCGAGUGGCGGACGGGUGAGGAAUACAUCGGACUCUACUUUUUCGUGGGGGAUAACGUAGGGAAACUUACGCUAAUACCGCAUACGCCCUACGGGUGAAAGCAGGGGAUCUUCGGACCUUGCGCGAUUGAAUGAGCCGAUGUCGGAUUAGCUAGUUGGCGGGGUAAAGGCCCACCAAGGCGACGAUCCGUAGCUGGUCUGAGAGGAUGAUCAGCCACAUGGGAACUGAGACACGGUCCAGACGACUAAGGGAGGCAGCAGUGGGGAAUAUUGGACAAUGGGCGCAAGCCUGAUCCAGCCAGACCGAGUGGGUGAAGAAGGCCUUCGGGUUGGAAAGACCUUUUGUGGGGAAAGAAAAGCAGCAGGUUAAGACCCAGCUGUUCUGACGGUACCCAAAGAAUAAGCACCGGCUAACUUCGUG
rnacentral:rRNA from 1 species